rnacentral:rRNA from 1 species
GCAAGGGUGCGUAACACGUGGGUAAUCUGCCAUGAAGUCUGGAAUAACUUGCUGAAAGGCGAGCUAAUGCCGGAUGUGACCAUUGGGAGGCAUCUCCUGAUGUUUAAAGUUGGGGACCGUAAGGCCUGACGCUUCAUGAUGAACCCGCGGCCUAUCAGCUAGUUGGUGAGGUAACGGCCCACCAAGGCUAAGACGGGUAGCUGGUCUGAGAGGACGACCAGCCACACUGGAACUGAGACACGGUCCAGACCACAUACGGGUGGCAGCAGUCGAGAAUUUUUCACAAUGGGCGCAAGCCUGAUGGAGCGACGCCGCGUGGGGGAUGAAUGGCUUCGGACCGUAAACCCCUGUCAUUCGCGAUCAAACCUUGUUAUUUGAAGAGAUGACGAGCUGAUAGUAGCGGAAGAGGAAGGGGACGGUUAACUCUGUGCCAGCCGC